AAAUCCGUCGACUUUAGAAAUCGUGAGGGUUCAAGUCCCUCUAUUCCCA
rnacentral:tRNA from 1 species